UGUGAGGAUUUCUGAAUUACUUAUUGCUUGCUAUGUCAUCCUAUUCCAUUACCAGGUCACAGAUUCCUGAGGAGAAGAUCAUGUAUCAAAGCCAAUCAGACCUGCAGGGAGUAAGCAUGAUUGAUCCAACAAAAUCUGGUCUAAGAAUGGGAGAAUUAUAGAAUUCCACCCCAGGAGAGUGCUUCCUCUUGGCCUUAUUGGAAGAUUACUCCAUUUACUGCACAUGAAGUACAAACCUUGAAUCCUGGAAAAUUGCCAGUGCUGCCCACAGCUGAGGAA